UCCAGAUGCAAUGGGCUCUGAUGUCUUAAUGAGUAGCAGUCUGUCCUGCAUCCUGGAAGUUGUUGCAUGGCAUAAGAUUCCUCUCCAUGGAAAGAAACUGAAGAUAUUCAGCAACUGAACCACAGCUCCCACAGGGUACCAUGGAGGGUGCUACAGUGCCAUUAAACCUAAGCUCACUGUGGGAUUCAUCUAUCUUUCCAUUAAGGAAUCAGAUUGCUUCGUAGCUGAUUUAUUGUUUUGACUUUGAUGAAAUAGAGAAGAUGCCUGGGCCUGCAGAACACUGGGAGGAAAGAACUGGCUUUUCUAAAUGUGCUGCCCUCAGGGGACUGGGUCUGUUGUUUAGAAAAGAGCAGUGCAGGAUGAUGCUGAUGCAAGGAGCUCUAAGUUAUGAUAAUGCAGAUUGCAGCUCGACAGGCUUGAUGAGCAGCCAAGACAGCAUGUUUCUGCCCUCCUGCCAGGCAGAGCAGCACCAUGGGACACAUCCAGCACCCACA